AAAAAUGAUCUGAGAUAAAAUAUGGCUGCUAACUAUAUUUUAAGUGGUUUAAUUCCAUUUUGUUUUUU
rnacentral:tRNA from 1 species